UACGAAGGGGCUAGCGUUGCUCGGAAUCACUGGGCGUAAAGCGCACGUAGGCGGCUUGUUAAGUCAGGGUGAAAUCCUGGAGCUCAACUCCAGAACUGCCUUUGAUACUGGCGAGCUUGAGUUCGGGAGAGGUGAGUGGAACUGCGAGUGUAGAGGUGAAAUUCGUAGAUAUCGAGAAGAACACCGGUGGCGAAGGCGGCCAUCUGGACGGUGACUGACGCUGAGACGGCGAAAGCGUGGGGA
rnacentral:rRNA from 1 species